rnacentral:rRNA from 1 species
AUGCAAAGCAGAGACUUGACGUGGUUCCUGGCGAGCGAGUCCCCGACGAAGGCCAUGGACCUGCCCCUCAUGGCCUCCAAGAACCGCCCGGCGUCGAAGCGGGGGAGGUCGCAGCCGUCAGGCUUCCACCGCCAGCGCAUGAGGUCCAGGCCCGGCUUGCCGAACUUCAUGCAGUUCUGGAGGUCGUCGAUGAACGGGCACGUCAGGUUGGUGUAG